UCCCUGGUGGCUCAGACGGUAAAGCAUCUGCCUGCAAUGUGGGAGACCCGGGUUCGAUCCCUGGGUCGGGAA
rnacentral:tRNA from 1 species